rnacentral:rRNA from 1 species
ACGGGAGGCAGCAGUGGGGAAUAUUGCACGAUGGGGGAAACCCUGAUGCAGCGACGCCGCGUGAGUGAAGAAGUAUUUCGGUAUGUAAAGCUCUAUCAGCAGGGAAGAAAAUGACGGUACCUGACUAAGAAGCCCCGGCUAACUACGUGCCAGCAGCCGCGGUAAUACGUAGGGGGCAAGCGUUAUCCGGAUUUACUGGGUGUAAAGGGAGCGUAGACGGUCUGGCAAGUCUGAUGUGAAAGGCAGGGGCUCAACUCCUGGACUGCAUUGGAAACUGUCAGUCUUGAGUGUCGGAGAGGUAAGCGGAAUUCCUAGUGUAGCGGUGAAAUGCGUAGAUAUUAGGAGGAACACCAGUGGCGAAGGCGACUAUCUGGACAGUAACUGACGCUGAGGCGCGAAAGCACGGGGAGCAAACAGGAUUAGAUACCCUGGUA